rnacentral:lncRNA from 1 species
UGGGAGGCAACCCAGUUUCUGAAUUUUUUAUCUUUAAUUUCGUUUUGAUUUUAUUUGAUUUUAUUUUAUUUUAUUUGAUUUGAUUUUAUUUUAUUUUAUUUUAUUUUAUUUGAUUUGAUUUAUUUAUUUAUUUUUUUGGGUUAUGCGUUGCUUCUGAUGGCAGUAAUGAUAGCAUCUACUGAGGGAUGCUAGAAGAAUUAGGUAUCUACUGAUGGAUACAUGAAGGUACACCUACUGAUGGGUGACGGUAAGUUUUGCACCUACUGAUGG